rnacentral:rRNA from 1 species
AACGAACGCUGGCGGCAUGCCCACACCUGCCAGUCGAACGAGACCUUCGGGUCUAGUGGCGCACGGGUGCGUAACGCGUGGGAACCUGCCCUUAGGUUCGGAAUAACUCCCCGAAAGGGGUGCUAAUACCGGAUAAUGUCUUCGGACCAAAGAUUUAUCGCCUUUGGAUGGGCCCGCGUUGGAUUAGCUAGUUGGUAGGGUAAAAGCCUACCAAGGCGACGAUCCAUAGCUGGUCUGAGAGGAUGAUCAGCCACACUGGGACUGAGACACGGCCCAGACUCCUACGGGAGGCAGCAGUGGGGAAUAUUGGACAAUGGGCGAAAGCCUGAUCCAGCAAUGCCGCGUGAGUGAUGAAGGCCUUAGGGUUGUAAAGCUCUUUUACCCGGGAUGAUAAUGACAGUACCGGGAGAAUAAGCUCCGGCUAACUCCGUG